AGGUCAAUGCAAUCCUCUCUGAUGUUG
rnacentral:piRNA from 1 species